UACGAGGGGGCGAGCGUUGUUCGGAAUUAUUGGGCGUAAAGGGUGCGUAGGCGGUUUGGUAAGUCUCUUGUGAAAUCUAUGGGCUCAACUCAUAGUCUGCAAGGAAACUGCCGGGCUUGAGUGUGGGAGAGGUGAGUGGAAUUUCCGGUGUAGCGGUGAAAUGCGUAGAUAUCGGAAGGAACACCUGUGGCGAAAGCGGCUCACUGGACCACAACUGACGCUGAUGCACGAAAGCUAGGGGAGCAAACAGG
rnacentral:rRNA from 1 species